rnacentral:rRNA from 1 species
CCUACGGGAGGCUGCAGUCGAGAAUCAUUCACAAUGGGGGAAACCCUGAUGGUGCGACGCCGCGUGGGGGAAUGAAGGUCUUCGGAUUGUAAACCCCUGUCAUGUGGGAGCAAAUUAAAAAGAUAGUACCACAAGAGGAAGAGACGGCUAACUCAGUGCCAGCAGCCGCGGUAAUACAGAGGUCUCAAGCGUUUUGCGGAAUCACUGGGCGUAAAGCUUGCGUAGACUGUUUCGUAAGUCGUGGGUGAAAGGCGCGGGCUCAACCCGCGGAUGGCAAAUGUUACUGUGAGACUAGAUUAAUGGAGGGGGAACCGGAAUUCUCGGUGCAGCAGUGAAAUGCGUAGAUAUCGAGAGGAACACUCGUGGCGAAGGCGGGUUCCUGGACAUUAACUGACGCUGAGGCACGAAGGUCAGGGGAGCGAAAGGGAUUAGAUACCCUUGUAGUC